rnacentral:rRNA from 1 species
UACGAAGGACCCAAGCGUUAUCCGGAUUUAUUGGGUUUAAAGGGUGCGUAGGCGGGUUAUUAAGUCAGUGGUGAAAGCCUACAGCUUAACUGUAGAAUUGCCAUUGAUACUGAUGAUCUUGAGUAUGAUUGAGGUGGGCGGAAUGUGUCAUGUAGCGGUGAAAUGCUUAGAUAUGACACAGAACACCGAUUGCGAAGGCAGCUCACUAAG